UUGGCUUAGCUUUGUCAUCCUGAAGGCACUACAGCACACAUGCAGGCCAGCACACGCGUGUGCUUCGACAUCUGCCCGCAGGACGUGUCAGUGGAAACUUCUCGCAUCCGACUGAUCCAGCACAGACACUGGAAAGCUUGCAGGGCUGAAGACGUUAGAUGCAAACCCUCACAGUCAUGGUGAACAGAAAAAGAUCAGCUUCAGAAACUCAGUAUUACAUCUGAGAGAGAUGAUGGCAAACGAACAAAACUCAGCAGUGACUGUAAACAUGAUUGUCCCCUUAAGCUCCAUAUUCUGGUUAAGCUUUUAUUCUGAACAGAUGUUUGCUCCACAGAUAUUGGGAUAUUCCUGUAUAGUCAACAUAAAUUGAAAACAAAAGAGUAUUCUUUUGUGUGAAUACUGGAGUUUAUGACACAGUUUUCUUUCUGGUAGAACUGCUUAUUGCAAUCAGGUUAAUGUGUUUAUGUGUAAUGUGUAAUCAGGUUAAUCAUAUAUUCUAUGAUUUAAAAUGCAGAUUAUGGUCAUUCCAGACCAAUUCAGGA